AGUGAACGCUGGCGGUAGGCCUAACACAUGCAAGUCGAACGGCAGCACAGUAAGAGCUUGCUCUUACGGGUGGCGAGUGGAGGACGGGUGAGGAAUACAUCGGAAUCUACUUUUUCGUGGGGGGUAACGUAGGGAAACUUACGCUAAUACCGCAUAAGACCUACGGGUGAAAGCAGGGGAUCUUCGGACCUUGCGCGAUUGAAUGAGCCGAUGUCGGAUUAGCUAGUUGGCGGGGUAAAGGCCCACCAAGGCGACGAUCCGUAGCUGGUCUGAGAGGAUGAUCAGCCACACUGGAACUGAGACACGGUCCAGACUCCUACGGGAGGCAGCAGUGGGGAAUAUUGGACAAUGGGCGCAAGCCUGAUCCAGCCAUACCGCGUGGGUGAAGAAGGCCUUCGGGUUGUAAAGCCCUUUUGUUGGGAAAGAAAAGCAGCAGGUUAAUACCCCGCUGUUCUGACGGUACCCAAAGAAUAAGCACCGGCUAACUUCGUG
rnacentral:rRNA from 1 species